GUUUGCUAACCACCAUUCAAAGAACCAAAGAAGAAGACGAACACUUUGUGUGUGAUUUCGAAUUCUGGUGGAAGCAAAUCUCAGAAAAUUACGACCACAAACUUUCUCAACCAUUGUGCCCAGACUUUUUCAGAUUGUACUCGACUUUUAUCUUCAGAUGACCAGGAUUCCAUACAGACUGUUCUAACCAGGUUAGAGAUAAUGGCGACGAGCGUUCGCUGGAGCAGAGGGCAACUGCAUCAAUCUGGAGUGGUGGAUGAGAUGCUUUUGCUCGAUAGCGAGUUAGUUCGGGAAGCCAACAUCAACAACAACCUGUUGCUUCUGCUUUCACCGUACCUCGAAUGGGAGGACAGACUGGAGGAAGGCCGGUUUACCAAAUCGCCCAAGAGCAGUUGCAGAUGUUGUUGUCCUUUAACUUCUCUGCUAAACAGAUUACGGAGAUCUUGGGUGUCUCAAGAAGAACAGUGAACCGACGGUUAAGGUAUGUGUCAAUUGAAGGACUAGUUCAGGAGAGAUCUGAAUAAUGUGACCCCUUUCUCACUGAGCCCUACACAAUUCUUUUGUUAAUUUACAAAGCACACGAAACACUGCAGAAUUACGCUUUCUAUACAUUUCAUGAAGAAAUUGAUAUACUUUGAUGGAACUCUUUCAUAUCCCAUAUCUUUGGAGAGAAAACUGUCAUGUGCUUGUACCAAAUGGCUAUCUUGUCACUGUUCCUUAAACACAUUGUUUUAUUUAGAGUUACUAGGGAUUAAUGUAAAAAAUGUAUCUAAGUCCUAAUAUGUAUACAUUGUCUUCCAUAGACAGCACAAUUUCAUCUUUUAGAGGUCGCUACACAGACCAGAUGAUGCACUUGAUCUGAAGGUGCUUCUAUUCGGAGUAUGUCCCACAGGCUUCGGAGGAGAACACAUCGAGUGGCAGGGUCAAAUUCGCUGUGGCAUCUUGAUCGCAACCACAAGCUCUUAAAGCGGAGGAUUGUAAUCCAUGGAGGAAUCGAUGGGCUCAGCCGACUGGUGGUUUUCCUGAAGGUUUCUAACAACAACAGAAGUGACAUUGUAAUGGACCUGUUUUCGGAAGCAGUCGCCCAGUUUGGUGUCCCAUCCAGAGUCAGAUCUGACUAUGGAGGGGAAAACAACGCCUUUUGUCUCCUCAUGGAUGUCUUCCGAGGAUCAACCCGAGGUAGCACUCAUAAUCAACACAUUAAAAGACUGUGGGGCGAUGUCUGGAGAGGCGUGACCAAAAAAACGCAAAGUGCUACGUAGUGUGGUCUAUCUAGUGUGAGUUUAUCAUCGACAGGAAGCUCCCAGCCCUACAGAACACCUACCAUACACGAUGCCUCCGGAAAGCUGGCAAGAUUCUAAAAGACUGCUACCACCCAUCUUUCAGUCUCUACCCCGCUGCCUUCUGGACAACAGUUUCUAUCCAAGGGCCAGCAGGCUUCUGAAUGACCAUUUACAUGGACAGUUCUCACUAGCCACUUUACAUUGAUGCAUUUCUCACUAGUCACUUUACACACUGUCACUUUCAGCUACUGGUUGCACUAUCAGCAAUAUUGCACUAACUGUACCCCACUUGUCUUAGGUUAGUAUAGGUCAUUAUCAGUAUUAGAGGUCUAAUAUAUUGUAGACUAUUGUAUAUUUAGGAGGUUUAUAAUUUAUCAUAUUUUUUUAGCUUAUCAUAAAUGUAAUCUAAGUACUUAUUAUGUUAUGCCAGGUUGCUUUGCAUUGUCUUGUCCCAAAAAUGUCAGUGCCCAGUCUGACUUUGUGGUGUUCUGUGUACCUGAUAAUAAGACUUGAAACGGAUGUCUACCACUCCUUGUUUACAUAUCUAUAUAGAAAAUGAAGGAAUCAUUAUUGCCAACAACGAGAGGCAUCUGUGGGCUUUUCACUUUGUUUACCUGCCUUGUAUAAAACGUGACCUGAGGACUGCCAGAUACAUGUCACCAUAUCAAAUUGUUGUUUUGAGUUGCAACAUCACACUGGUAUCCAAGGUAUAUUUGGAGCAGCCAGUUCCAGGGGGUGGCUGACCAAGGGGCGGCUGCACUUGCCUUUGACUGGCUACAAAGAGUUGUGGUUCCCCUAAACCAAUUUCAACCAAGUGACGAACAGUUGGAACACCUCAGGCAACACACAAAUCGUUUGGGUGGAGAUAGAGACAGUUUGGGAACUGAUCAGGUCCUCAAUGUCCUGUCUUAAAUACAGUUCACACACACAUAAUUUAACUGUUGUAAUCACAUUGUCAAUAGGCCUUGGAAUGAGUUAGCAGUCUCAAUCACGUCAAUGUAAUAAAGAUGAGCA